rnacentral:ncRNA from 1 species
CUUACACAGGACAGGGAUUAAAAGGGAACCGGGUGGAAAUCCCGGACAGACCACGCUGCUGUGAAACUUCGGGAACAUGCCGGCAAUAUACUCUAUGCCACUGAUCGGGGGAUCGGGAAGGUGUCCGGGAUGGAAGUAAGUCAGAAGACCUGCCGUUUCGGUU